rnacentral:rRNA from 1 species
GGCCUAACACAUGCAAGUCGAACGGCAGCACGGGGGCAACCCUGGUGGCGAGUGGCGAACGGGUGAGUAACAUAUCGGAACGUGCCCUGGAGUGGGGGAUAACUAGUCGAAAGAUUAGCUAAUACCGCAUACGAUCUACGGAUGAAAGUGGGGGAUCGCAAGACCUCAUGCUCGUGGAGCGGCCGAUAUCUGAUUAGCUAGUUGGUGGGGUAAAAGCCUACCAAGGCAUCGAUCAGUAGCUGGUCUGAGAGGACGACCAGCCACACUGGGACUGAGACACGGCCCAGACUCCUACGGGAGGCAGCAGUGGGGAAUUUUGGACAAUGGGCGCAAGCCUGAUCCAGCAAUGCCGCGUGAGUGAAGAAGGCCUUCGGGUUGUAAAGCUCUUUUGUCAGGGAAGAAACGGUGAGGGCUAAUAUCCCUUGCUAAUGACGGUACCUGAAGAAUAAGCACCGGCUAACUACGUGCCAGCAGCCGCGGUAAUACGUAGGGUGCAAGCGUUAAUCGGAAUUACUGGGCGUAAAGCGCGCGCAGGCGGUUGUGCAAGACCGAUGUGAAAUCCCCGGGCUUAACCUGGGAAUGGCAUUGGUGACUGCACGGCUAGAGUGUGUCAGAGGGGGGUAGAAUUCCACGUGUAGCAGUGAAAUGCGUAGAGAUGUGGAGGAAUACCGAUGGCGAAGGCAGCCCCCUGGGAUAACACUGACGCUCAUGCACGAAAGUGUGGGGAGCAAACAGGAUUAGAUACCCUGGUAGUCCACGCCCUAAACGAUGUCAACUAGUUGUCGGGUCUUAAUUGACUUGGUAACGCAGCUAACGCGUGAAGUUGACCGCCUGGGGAGUACGGUCGCAAGAUUAAAACU